AAAACCUUACCUACCCUUGACAUGUCAGAAACUUGGCAGAGAUGCCUUGGCGCCCGAAAGGGAAUCUGAACACAGGUGCUGCAUGGCUGUCGUCAGCUCGUGUCGUGAGAUGUUGGGUUAAGUCCCGCAACGAGCGCAACCCUUGUCGUUAAUUGCCAUCAUUUAGUUGGGCACUUUAACGAGACUGCCGGUGACAAACCGGAGGAAGGUGGGGAUGACGUCAAGUCCUCAUGGCCCUUAUGGGUAGGGCUUCACACGUCAUACAAUGGUCGGUACAGAGGGUUGCCAAGCCGCGAGGUGGAGCCAAUCCCAGAAAGCCGAUCGUAGUCCGGAUUGCAGGCUGCAACUCGCCUGCAUGAAGUCGGAAUCGCUAGUAAUCGCGGAUCAGCAUGUCGCGGUGAAUACGUUCCCGGGUCUUGUACACACCGCCCGUCACACCAUGGGAGCGGGUUCCGCCAGAAGUAGGUAGCCUAACCGCAAGGGGGGCGCUUACCACGGCGGGGUUCGUGACUGGGGUGAAGUCGUAACAAGGUAGCCGUAGGGGAACCUGCGGCUGGAUCACCUCC
rnacentral:rRNA from 1 species